rnacentral:lncRNA from 1 species
AUGUCACGACCCGAUUUCUCGAGUCAUGAUGGCACCUACUAUACCCUACCAGUAGGUAAGCCAACCCGUAACCCAGAACAUCAAGCAAUGAGCAAAAGGGCAGAAACUAGCGAAAACAAUAAUCUAAACAAGGAUAACAAGGCGGAAGCAACCCAAAAUAAAUAUAUACAGAAAUCCCUCCCAGAACCUGGAAGUCACUAGUACAGAGCUAUCUAAUAAAGAGUACAAGUCCCAAAAGUGGACCACAACAGAGCGUGUCUCAAAGGCAACAAGACUAGCUAAAACAAAAGAAGGAGACAGAACAAACCCCAAAACGCCAAGUGCUCGCCCUCGUCUCCGAAUCACAACUGCAAAAGAAGGCUGGAACUAAUCACCGCUGGUAACUGGUACUGGGACCUGCAUCACGAAAUAGAUGCAGAGCGUAGCAUGAGUACCAACACAACAGGUACUCAGUAGGCAUCAUAGGCCGACUGAGCAAAAAGGGUAAAAACAAUAAGAAAGGAUAGAAUCUAGACACAGAGAGGUCAAAGCGGAUAAGAAAAGAAAGCACACGAGCAUACCAUAAACAAACUAAGUACAACUAAACUAAACCUAACUGGACCCCCAUAAGCCCAGAAGGUACACUCGUGCGCAAGUUUAAAUAAAACCUGAACGGACCCCCAUAAGCCCGACAGGUACACAGCAAGGCUAAGUCUACUGAGAAAGAAGAAAACCGGGCUCCCAACCCAAAGUAACUAAGAUAAUCCAUCAGACUCCACCCAGCCAGCAGUGCACUCCCAGCCCAGCUAGAAAGAGUGACCCUAGGGGGCACCCAACCAAACAGUCCACUCCCAGCCCAACUAAAAAGAGGGACCCGUGAGUGAGGUAGAUAUCGCGAGUCGUCCUACCAUGCAGUCAGCUCCCAGCCCAGCUAGAAAGAGCGACCCGGGGACACCCAGCCAGCAGCACACUCCCAGCCCAGCUAGAAAGAGAGGCUCGGGGGCGAUCGCCGAUAUCACCGAGUCUACCCAGCCAGCGAUACGUUCCCAGCCUAGCUAGAAAGAACGACCCCGGGGGUGAUGGUAUCUCCAAUAGGAUUCAAUCCAACAACAACCACCGUGGAACGCCGUCCACUCUAAGAUAUCACAUAAAAGGCUCCAAGCCUAUACUAUCUCAAUCCCACGCCUCGAGUGAUGCACUAAACCUUCGAGAAUGCGUCGGAACCGCAGAAUAAGAGGGAGAAGAUACAGAAGUGCAGCAAACAGCAUAACGCCUAAUCUAAGGCUCAACUAUUAGACUCAAGUCUGCUAUUUCAGUCUACAAUGAGCUAAGUCAUCCGAACGACGUCGGCAGAAAGUCAAGGCUAUCCAGCCCACACGGGUCAUAAGUCUAAGGCAAUGUUAGCAUAACCUAGACUAAGGACAUCAUGCUUACGGUUAAGGAUGAACAAGGCAUACAAUACAAAGCAUACAAGCAUACAAUAACAUUUAGCACAUAGACAUGCAACUAUAUUAAACCGGUUAACAUGAUACUAUACUAGAAAUGUGGCCAAUCGAUCCUAACAUAAGGUAUUUAAUCAAAGUAAGGUGGUAAACUAGUACCCACCCCCAAUUCACUCCAAUCGACAUGUUUUUACACAAUUAAACUCAAUCUAAAAGAAAGGAAAGCCAUNNNNNNNNNNNNNNNNNNNNNNNNNNNNNNNNNNNNNNNNNNNNNNNNNNNNNNNNNNNNNNNNNNNUCAAUUUUGGAGUCAAAACGGGAAUCGUGGGACCCGCACCGAACUGUCCGAAUUUGACUCCGUCAAGAGACCCUAAACAGCACUCCAAACUUGUGUUCCAAAAUGGAACACAAUCCGAGGCUCAAAACACAGCAAAACCAACAAGCAAGAAAACCCACUUUAAUAAACUUAAAGAAACCCUACUGCAGCAGUCAAAACUCAAAAUAAACGAGAAUCGAAAGGUGCCCAGCACUCCUUGAACACUCUAAGAUGAAGUCAUGACAAUUCUCAACUUGUGGGACUUCGAAUCACCCAAAACCGAGCUAAAAUGAGUGAGAUAUGACCAAAAUAAUAAUACCAAAAACAAUUGCUCGAAAAAGUCACUGCAGUCAGGUUUUAUCGCGAAAAUACCUCAAACGGGAACCCCAAACCACUAUCCGAGCUCACCAACGCGU